CCAAAGCUCUGGCAUCUUGGAAGGGUUUUUCCCUUUGUCUCAUUUUCCUUUUUUCCAGAUCUGACUUAAAACAGAGAUCAGGAUGACUCUCAGCAAGCAAAGAUCCCAUGACUGUUUCCCCAAGAGCCAGUAUAUUAGUCCUUGCAUCCUGGCCAUAUUCCAGCUCGGGAAAUUACCUUCUGCCUCCCUAAAUCCCCCCUGCGGUUUCAAUUGGAUACAGGCUUCUUCGCUCUCUUGCCGAAACUGCUGCGCAGGGUUGCUGUGUGCGGUUAAGCAGCUGCUGUCAGAGAACCAUGACUAGCACACACCAAGAUGGAUUUUGCUUCGUUUUCCAGUACAUCAGCUGGCUGGCCAGACACCAGCUGCUGGAGCAUCAGUGUGCUCGUGCACCUGGAGAACACGUGCUCUUCUCACAGGCAUGUUGAGGCAUGGGAUCCACCUCCCCCCUGGCUAGCCCUCUUGUCUUUGCAGAAUAGCUAUGGACUUUUGGCCAUUUCAGGACUUGUCCCUCUGGGAACAGCUGUGGGGGCCCCAUGUGGGAUGGUACGCCUGCAGUAUGAUGUUCUGAGCAGAAAGGGGUAGUGGCACAGUGUGGGACCCUGCCCAGAGGAAGGGCCCUGCUCUUCCCUCAGCCCAAUACAGCCCACAGUAGGACCCCUUUCACAAGCCCUCAUGCUGGGGAAGACACCAUCAUGGUCCAUCUACAGUCACCCAACACUGGAGCAAAUCCCAGGAGUCAACAACCCUGGAACAGGAAUCCCAGAGGUCUCCAGACUGAAGUUGUUCAACCUUGAGUUAAAAAUGCAACACUGUCAACCAGCCAGGCUUUGCAUUGUUCCUGUUGCCAGAAUCUAUAUAAGCAAAUUACUUUGCUGUCAGGAAUACAACAGGAGACAGAGAGAGAAAUCUCCUGCCCAGGCACUCUGGAGACAGACUCGCAAUAUUCUGAGUAAUGCAGCCAUCUCACUGACAUCCCCUGACAUCAGGGAAAUACAAAAAAACCCAACAAACCCCUAACAGAAAACCUUUAGUCAUUUAGUAGAUGUGAUUUGUGGAUGAACUAUAAUAUACAGUGAAAGGUGGGGACGAGGAUGGCCUUUAAUGAAUUGUCUUGGAGGAAAUCUCGCAUGUUUGCUUAUGUGUCAAGGGGAGGCAUUUAUAUAAAUAUACACACAUUUACACACACAUCUGUUAAACAGUCUUCCUAUGUGUCCUAGGUGUGCAUAUAGAAAUAUAUACAUCUGUGCAUGUGCCUCUGCUGUGAGCAAGAGAGCUGCCAGGAGCAGUAAAAUUUCAAUCCAGCGUGCAGAAAGCGACAGGGCCUGCGGACAGGAGCUCAGCCCUCUCUUCUGCCCAUGAAUCACAGCCCACGGAUGAGGAUCAGGGCGGACGUCAACUCUGGUGCCAGCUUGCUCUUCUUCCCUGGCUCCUCUGGCUGGAUUCCCUCCCCUCCUUGCCUCCCCCUCUCCCCUAUUCUCUACCCCCCUUUCCUUUCCCAGCAGGAUGACAUUCAUCCAUCAUCCAGCAUUUUAAGUGCUGGCAUGUCAUUGAGGCUGUCAGCCGUCCUCUUUGCUCAGCGCAAGGAGCUCCACUUGGCGGCUUGGUGCGACCGUUUCCCUUUGGAGCCUGUAAUCCUCCUGUUCGGGUUAGUUCCACUUGGUUUCACAGAGUGCAGAGUGAGGGGAACCCGGUGGGAUAGCAGUAGAUUAUAUCAAAUAAUAAAGAGAGCACUUGCUCUAAUAACUCCAA